UACGAAGGGGGCUAGCGUUGCUCGGAUUGACUGGGCGUAAAGGGCGCGUAGGCGGUUCGUACAGUCAGACGUGAAAUUCCUGGGCUCAACCUGGGGGCUGCGUUUGAUACGUGCGGACUUGAGUGCGGAAGAGGGUCGUAGGAAUUCCCAGUGUAGAGGUAGAAAUUCGUAGAUAGUUGGGAAGAACACCGGUGGCGAAGGCGGCGAUCUGGGUAGAUACUGACGCUGAGGUGCGAAAAGCGUGGGGGAGCAAACAGG
rnacentral:rRNA from 1 species